rnacentral:lncRNA from 13 species
CUGAAGCCACCUCCUAACUAGUCAUUAUGCUUCUGCCCUGUUCCUUACAGUCUCUUCUUAAGACAGUAUCCAGCGUCAUCUUUUUGCAACAUGCCUGGUAAACGUCACCUCUCUGCUUAGCAGAUGGAGCUCUCAUUAUGUUGCCCAGGCGAGUCUCAAACUCCUAAGCUCAAGCAGUCCUUCCACCUCGGCUUCUCCAGGAGGCAGAACCCUUGGCAUGGUCAGUGACUUGUGAUUUCAUUGUCAACGCAACGAUGAUGAGGUACCAUGUUCAAGUGUUUUUGAGAGCAGGACAGAAUAAAGAACAUCAGGAGACAAACCUGAGAUCA